CAGGAGCACAGCUGGGUAGCUAUGUGCGGGCUUGAUAAACGCUGAAGGCAUCUAAGCGUGAAACAAACUCUAAGAUUAGAUCUCCCAUCCGAAAGGAGUAAGGCCCCACGAAGACUAUGUGGUUGAUAGGUCAGAGAUGUAAGUGCAGUAAUGCAUUCAGUCGACUGAUACUAAUAGGCCGAGGGCUUGACCUAA
rnacentral:rRNA from 1 species